rnacentral:rRNA from 1 species
GUGGCGAACGGGUGAGUAACACGUGAGCAACCUGCCCCUGACUCUGGGAUAAGCGCUGGAAACGGCGUCUAAUACUGGAUACGAGACGUGAUCGCAUGGUCAACGUUUGGAAAGAUUUUUCGGUUGGGGAUGGGCUCGCGGCCUAUCAGCUUGUUGGUGAGGUAAUGGCUCACCAAGGCGUCGACGGGUAGCCGGCCUGAGAGGGUGACCGGCCACACUGGGACUGAGACACGGCCCAGACUCCUACGGGAGGCAGCAGUGGGGAAUAUUGCACAAUGGGCGCAAGCCUGAUGCAGCAACGCCGCGUGAGGGAUGACGGCCUUCGGGUUGUAAACCUCUUUUAGCAGGGAAGAAGCGAGAGUGACGGUACCUGCAGAAAAAGCACCGGCUAACUACGUGCCAGCAGCCGCGGUAAUACGUAGGGUGCAAGCGUUAUCCGGAAUUAUUGGGCGUAAAGAGCUCGUAGGCGGUUUGUCGCGUCUGCUGUGAAAUCUGGGGGCUCAACCCCCAGCCUGCAGUGGGUACGGGCAGACUAGAGUGCGGUAGGGGAGAUUGGAAUUCCUGGUGUAGCGGUGGAAUGCGCAGAUAUCAGGAGGAACACCGAUGGCGAAGGCAGAUCUCUGGGCCGUAACUGACGCUGAGGAGCGAAAGGGUGGGGAGCAAACAGGCUUAGAUACCCUGGUAGUCCACCCCGUAAACGUUGGGAACUAGUUGUGGGGUCCAUUCCACGGAUUCCGUGACGCAGCUAACGCAUUAAGUUCCCCGCCUGGGGAGUACGGCCGCAAGGCUAAAACUCAAAGGAAUUGACGGGGACCCGCACAAGCGGCGGAGCAUGCGGAUUAAUUCGAUGCAACGCGAAGAACCUUACCAAGGCUUGACAUAUACGAGAACGGGCCAGAAAUGGUCAACUCUUUGGACACUCGUAAACAGGUGGUGCAUGGUUGUCGUCAGCUCGUGUCGUGAGAUGUUGGGUUAAGUCCCGCAACGAGCGCAACCCUCGUUCUAUGUUGCCAGCACGUAAUGGUGGGAACUCAUGGGAUACUGCCGGGGUCAACUCGGAGGAAGGUGGGGAUGACGUCAAAUCAUCAUGCCCCUUAUGUCUUGGGCUUCACGCAUGCUACAAUGGCCGGUACAAUGGGCUGCAAUACCGUGAGGUGGAGCGAAUCCCAAAAAGCCGGUCCCAGUUCGGAUUGAGGUCUGCAACUCGACCUCAUGAAGUCGGAGUCGCUAGUAAUCGCAGAUCAGCAACGCUGCGGUGAAUACGUUCCCGGGUCUUGUACACACCGCCCGUCAAGUCAUGAAAGUC